AUUGAACGCUGGCGGCAUGCCUUACACAUGCAAGUCGAACGGCAGCGGGGGAGAAGCUUGCUUUUCCUGCCGGCGAGUGGCGAACGGGUGAGUAAUACAUCGGAACGUGCCCUGUAGUGGGGGAUAACUAGUCGAAAGAUUAGCUAAUACCGCAUACGACCUGAGGGUGAAAGUGGGGGACCGCAAGGCCUCAUGCUAUAGGAGCGGCCGAUGUCGGAUUAGCUAGUUGGUGGGGUAAAGGCCUACCAAGGCGACGAUCAGUAGCUGGUCUGAGAGGACGAUCAGACACACUGGGACUGAGACACGGCCCAGACUCCUACGGGAGGCAGCAGUGGGGAAUUUUGGACAAUGGGCGAAAGCCUGAUCCAGCAAUGCCGCGUGUGUGAAGAAGGCCUUCGGGUUGUAAAGCACUUUUGUCCGGAAAGAAAUGGCUCUGGUUAAUACCUGGGGUCGAUGACGGUACCGGAAGAAUAAGGACCGGCUAACUACGUGCCAGCAGCCGCCGUAA
rnacentral:rRNA from 1 species